GGUUAAGUUCCAUGACUACAGGGCAUGGUGGAAGGAGGAGGAGUCUGAGGUAUGACAUCUAGAAUCACAAGUACAAAGCAGGUGGCGCAUUGAGAGUGGUGCACAGCACUGAAACUUCAAUGCCCAGUCCUGCUGAUAUUCUUUCUCCAGCAAGGGCACACCUCCUGAAUCUUCCCAAACAGAGUCACCAACUGGGAAAGGAGUACUCAAAUGCCCGAGACAGUGGAGGAUAGCUCAUUCAAAAUGUCAUGGUGAUUCAGGAAUUCGAAUCAGUAACAGAGAGAACCUUCACUCUGGGUCAAUGUGUGUUGCUGCAGAGCCAGCAAGCUGCUCUCCCUCCUCUUGCCCAUAAGAUGUGGAUUAAGUUAAAAUGUAAACAAGCAUCUCCAUGGAAAAUCAACAGCCCUGUUAAUCUGGUCAUACUCAAAGGAUAGGUCUAGAGGUGCUGGACACUGAAAUCAUAGAAGGAGCCAACACAAACUCAAACCCUUUAGUCUUCAGGAAUAAAAAUACCACAGAAGCCAAACGGGGCAAGGACAUGAAGCAAACACUCACUCACUCAGCAGAUAAAAUUACACCUAGUCCUAACUCACAGACCUACUUCUUAAACAGCUUAUAUUCUGCUAGUACCUAUUCAACACGAUCCUAAAUGCUGCAAUCAAACCAAAUGGUUCCUUAUUUUGUGGAGUAUGACUUAAAAAUACUAAAGUCCUCUGAAGGAAGCGAAUGGAAUCUUCUCAGGGCCUAGGGAGGUCGGCUAAGAGUGUACAAAAUAACAAAACAACACCACCCAAUUUCCCCACCAGGAAGCAGAAACUGGUCUGCUGUCAGUUGUCAAUUCCUGAGGGUUUAACAGAAGCCUACAGACUGGAAGGACUGAGGAUCCAAAAGAAAAAUGCAUCAACGCAGCACUUACCUGUCCACACUGAAACACCAUGAAUGAACAGAGUGCAAGAAAUGGUAGAAACAGCCUCAGCAAGGAGAAAGUCAACUGUCAGGUUGUGAAGACUCCUUCACAUACUGCAGAGACAAG
rnacentral:lncRNA from 1 species